rnacentral:tRNA from 1 species
GGGCCCGUAGCUCAGCAUGGAUAGAGCGGCGGCCUUCUAAGCCGCAGGUCGCGGGUUCGAAUCCCGCCGGGCCCG